rnacentral:misc_RNA from 1 species
GUGAAUCAUCGAAUUUUUGAACGCAAAUUGCACUCUCUGGUAUUCCGGAGAGUAUGCCUGUUUGAGGGUCAGUUUAACUAAAAAGCGGUGUGGUUGGUGCCUUUUGUUGUGUCUCACCGGGUUUGGGUCGUCUUUCAUUCGGUUAAGCGACCUAAAUUUUUGUAUGUUUUUGUCGCACGUAUUUAAAUGUUUUUACGUACGUUUGUGAUAUCGAAUACUAGGUGUGGUCAUCCUCAUGAUUCGCGUCUAUAAUUUCUCAUCAAAAU